UACGUAGGUGGCAAGCGUUAUCCGGAAUUACUGGGCGUAAAGCGUGCGCAGGCGGUUUUGUAAGUCAGAUGUGAAAUCCCCGGGCUUAACCUGGGAACUGCGUUUGAAACUACAAGGCUAGAGUGUGGCAGAGGGGGGGUGGAAUUCCACGUGUAGCAGUGAAAUGCGUAGAGAUGUGGAGGAACACCGAUGGCGAAGGCAGCCCCCCUGGGUUAACACUGACGCUCAGGCACGAAAGCGUGGGGAGCAAACAGG
rnacentral:rRNA from 1 species